AGGGCCACUUUGCUUUUGGCUGCCUCCUGCUGAGAUUGACCUUUACUUGAAAGUUGGUGCAACAAACUGCCAAGUGAUGCUAUCUGCCAUAAAAAUCCAAAUGAUGGGAUCUUGGAUCUUCAUUGAGACCAAGAAAUGGAAAUCCAGCACAUCAAAACAUUGUGUAGGCAUCUGACAAUCUGAAAAUAUAUGAAUGUCAGUAUUUAAAGAAAACCUUUGUGUCUCUUGAUUAGCAGUCAAUCUGAACUGAGAUAUAGAAAGAAGUGUCUCAGUGACUUUGUAUCUUCCAUUUGCAAGUAUGUGCUGUUUACAAGUCAAGUGCUGGUGAGGAAAAAAAAAUGAAAAUUAACUAUAAAUUGAAAUUCAGCCCCACAUAGGAGUUUAAGACUUUCUUGUCUUGAAGCAUAUUCUAAGGCAUUUCAAUUUACAGCUUGUAUGCUUUCUUUAUAAAGUCCUGGAUCCUUUAAAUUUGUUAUCAUGGUGUUUUCAUUUUAAGAUCUGUAUAAUCAGCAACAUCUUUGCUCUGUAAGGGGAAAGUAAAAUCUCAUUGCACCAGUGUCAUUUUUUGAUGUAGUUUUCUGGAACAAAAAAAGACCAAGCAUCAAGGAUGAAAUUAUGCUGUUGUUGAGCCUCUAAUUUUUCUAUGAAUGAAUUGAAAAGUAAGCAAAGGGUGAGGGGAAUGUGCCAUAUGCUCUUUUUCCAGAGCAGUGUGUCUUAACAACAUAUCAGAAGUCACCUUUAAAUGCUGACUACAAAGAAACCUCCAGUUGCUUAUUCUGCAGAGGCAAUUUUUGCUUUCUUUUUGCUGAGCUGUCAAAAGGAGAAUAUCUAAAAAUAAUUAUUUCUGCCAGUUGAGUAAUUAAUGAUGGCUCUAACUAAUGACAGUGUCAUUGAAUGGCAUUAGACAAGAUGAGUUAGAUAUUUAUUAAAUGGUAUUUCAGUGUUUCAAAGACUCAAUGAAUACCCCAUGAAGAGUGGUGAUGCUAAAUUAAGAAAAAAAUGUGCUUUUUUUAAACCUUUCAUGUCUACAAGAAAUGUGUGGUAAAUAUAAGCACUUCUCUAUGACAAUCAAUAAGUUAAUAGAUAUUACCUUGCUUUGCUAUUACAUAUUCCAUGCCUAAAGUUAUCACAGAAUGCAAAUUAAUGAAUAAUUAUUCUUGGUGGUAAAGUUAUCAUCGAGUGCAAAUUAAUGAAUAUGCGUUCUUAUUGAUAGCCUUAAGCUGUUUGUUCUGGAAUAUCUUAUGUACUAUAACUCUUUCAGGAAUCUCUGUUGUUUCCCUUUUCUCUACUUCCCUGGCUUGCAUCAAACUUGGCAGUAAUAAAGGAUAUAAGGCUUUUGUUUGUUAGCA
rnacentral:lncRNA from 1 species